rnacentral:rRNA from 1 species
CAAAGGAUCAGACUUGAGUAAGGCGGGACACGUGCAAUCCUGUCUGAACACGGGGGGACCACCCUCCAAGCCUAAGUACUCCUCAGCGACCGAUAGUGAACAAGUACCGUGAGGGAAAGGUGAAAAGCACCCCGACGAGGGGAGUGAAAGAGACCUGAAACCGGAUGCUUACAAACAGACGGAGCCCAAGGUUCGUCCUGGGUGACGUCGUACCUUUUGUAUAAUGGGCCAGCGACUUAAUUUGACGAGCAAGCUUAAGCCGAUAGGCGGAGGCGCAGCGAAAGCGAGUCUGAACAGGGCGUUCAGUUCGUCGGAUUAGACCCGAAACCUAGUGAUCUAGCCAUGGUCAGGUUGAAGGUGGGGUAACACCCACUGGAGGACCGAACCGGUGUCUGUUGAAAAAGACUCGGAUGAACUGUGGCUAGGGGUGAAAGGCCAAUCAAACU